rnacentral:rRNA from 1 species
AUUGAACGCUGGCGGCAUGCCUUACACAUGCAAGUCGAACGGCAGCACGGGUGCUUGCACCUGGUGGCGAGUGGCGAACGGGUGAGUAAUACAUCGGAACAUGUCCUGUAGUGGGGGAUAGCCCGGCGAAAGCCGGAUUAAUACCGCAUACGAUCUACGGAUGAAAGCGGGGGACCUUCGGGCCUCGCGCUAUCGGGUUGGCCGAUGGCUGAUUAGCUAGUUGGUGGGGUAAAGGCCUACCAAGGCGACGAUCAGUAGCUGGUCUGAGAGGACGACCAGCCACACUGGGACUGAGACACGGCCCAGACUCCUACGGGAGGCAGCAGUGGGGAAUUUUGGACAAUGGGCGAAAGCCUGAUCCAGCAAUGCCGCGUGUGUGAAGAAGGCCUUCGGGUUGUAAAGCACUUUUGUCCGGAAAGAAAUCCUUGGCUCUAAUACAGUCGGGGGAUGACGUUACCGGAAGAAUAAGCACCGGCUAACUACGUG